AGGCUCCCAGGUCGAAAUCCUGCGAGGCUCGAGGAUGGGUCUGCGGCCUAUCAGGUAGUAGGGGGUUUCACGGACCCCCUAGCCAGAGACGGGUACGGGCUUUGGGAGAAGUCGCCCGGAGAUGGAUUCUGAGACACGAAUCCAGGUCCUACGGGACGCAGCAGGCGCGAAACCUCCACAAUGUGGGAAACCACGAUGGGGGAACUCCAAGUGCCUACACUAAGUGUAGGCUGUUCUCGAGCCUAAAAAGCUCGAGAAGUAAGGGCCGGGUAAGACGGGUGCCAGCCGCCGCGGUAAUACCCGCGGCCCGAGUGGUGCUCAUUAUUAUUGAGCCUAAAGCGUCCGUAGCUGGCCAGGCAAAUCUCCGGGUAAAUCGGGCGGCUCAACCGUCCGAAUUCCGGAGACACUGCUUGGCUUGAGAUCGGGAGAGGGAGAAGGUACUCCCGGGGUAGGGGUAAAAUCCUGUAAUCCGGGGGGGACCACCAGUGGCGAAGGCGUUCUCCUAGAACGAAUCUGACAGUGAGGGACGAAGCCCUAGGGCGCAAACGGGAUUAGAUACCCCGGUAGUCUAGGGUGUAAACGCUGCAGACUUGGUGUUGGGGGUCCUGCGUGGGCUCCCAGUGCCGGAGCGAAGGUGUUA
rnacentral:rRNA from 1 species